GACGAACGCUGGCGGCGUGCUUAACACAUGCAAGUCGAACGAUGAAGCUAGAGCUUGCUCUGGUGGAUUAGUGGCGAACGGGUGAGUAACACGUGAGUAACCUGCCCCGAACUCUGGGAUAACUGCUGGAAACGGUAGCUAAUACCGGAUAUGACCAAUGAAGGCAUCUUCUGUUGGUGGAAAGAAUUUCGGUUCGGGAUGGACUCGCGGCCUAUCAGCUUGUUGGUGAGGUAACGGCUCACCAAGGCGACGACGGGUAGCCGACCUGAGAGGGUGAUCGGCCACACUGGGACUGGGACACGGCCCAGACUCCUACGGAAGGCAGCAGUGGGGAAUAUUGCACAAUGGGCGCAAGCCUGAUGCAGCAACGCCGCGUGAGGGACGACGGCCUUCGGGUUGUAAACCUCUUUUAGUAGGGAAGAAGCGAAAGUGACGGUACCUGCAGAAAAAGCACCGGCUAACUACGUGCCAGCCGCCGCCGUAA
rnacentral:rRNA from 1 species